UACGUAGGGCGCAAGCGUUGUCCGGAAUUAUUGGGCGUAAAGAGCUCGUAGGUGGUUUGUCGCGUCUGCCGUGAAAGCCCGGGGCUUAACCCCUGGCUUGCGGUGGGUACGGGCAGACUAGAGUGUGGUAGGGGAGACUGGAAUUCCUGGUGUAGCGGUGAAAUGCGCAGAUAUCAGGAGGAACACCGAUGGCGAAGGCAGGUCUCUGGGCCACUACUGACGCUGAGAAGCGAAAGCGUGGGGAGCGAACAGG
rnacentral:rRNA from 1 species